rnacentral:rRNA from 1 species
GAAGGGUGCAAGCGUUACUCGGAAUUACUGGGCGUAAAGCGUGCGUAGGUGGUCCAGUUAAGUCUGAUGUGAAAUCCCUGGGCUCAACCUAGGAAUUGCAUUCCUUCUGGCAGGGUAGAGGGAGGUAGAGGGUAGUGGAUUCCCGGUGUAGCAGUGAAAUGCGUAGAGAUCGUCAGGAACACCACUGGCGAAAGCGGCUACCUGGACCUGCUCUGACACUGAGGCACGAAAGCUAGGGGAGCAAACAGGAUUAGAUACCCCGGUAGUCCACGCCCUAAACGAUGAGAACUGGUUGUGGGGUGCAACUAGGCUUUCCGUAUCGAAGCUAACGCGUUAAGUUCUCCGCCUGGGGAGUACGGUCGCAAGACUG